UUGAAACACCGGUUUCCGUACGAUCAUCGAAGUUAAGCAACGUCGAGCUUGGUCAGUACCUAGAUGGUAAGACGCUUGGGAAUACCGAGUGCUGUAAU